CUACAAAGCAUUACAUGGGCUUGCUCCUACCUAUCUUUCCGAUUUGGUCCUGCCGUACAUACCUACACGUACGCUACGGUCACAAGACGCAGGCCUCCUAAUUGUCCCUAGAAUUUCUAAGCAAACGGCUGGAGGACCUGAGCCCUAGGACCAUGCCUCAGGAUUACCUGGCAUGAUGACUCCUUGCUGUCCCCAGUCCACCUGGCCGUGCUGCUGCUCCAGUUUCAACUGUUCUGCCUGCGGCUAUGGAACCCUGACCUGUUCACCGGACGUGCUUGUUGCACCCUCGACAACUACUAUCAUUAUUAUUAUUUGACCAUGCUGGUCAUUUAUGAACAUUUUAACAUCUUGACCAUGUUCUGUUAUAAUAUCCACCCGGCACAGCCAGAAGAGGACUGGCCACACCUCAUAGCCUGGUUCCUCUCUAGGUUUCUUCCUAGGUUUUUGGCCUUUCUAGGGAGUUUUUCCUAGGGAGUUUUUCCUAGCCACCGUGCUUCUUUCACAUGCUUUGCUUGCUGUUUGGGGUUUUAGGCUGGGUUUCUGUACAGCACUUUGAGAAUAUCAGCUGAUGUACGAAGGGC
rnacentral:lncRNA from 1 species